CAGUGAGUCCUUGUUCAGAUAGAUAUGAAUAUAUGGAAAAUUUUCUAUUGUUGAAGUCCAUCUUUUGGGCUAAAUAUUAGCAAAAACAAGAGUUGUUUUGUUAGCUCAUUUGGGACUGAAACUCUCUUCAACACUUUUUAUCACACAAGUUAACACAUUUGAAACCUUGUCAUCUGGUUGCACUAGAACCAAGUGAGAACUAGCACAACGGAGCUAAUUCAUUUGGAUAACAGUGCAUAUUUUUGCUCCUGAAAAUUAUGCUUAGCAGCCAAGUUCUAAAAGAACCUGCAUAAAGGUUAUGACACUUAACAGGAUCCAGAUCUCUUGACUUUCAUUCCUAUUAUUCUGCUGGAGAAAGAGAGGCAGAAAAAGCCAGACACUUUACUGCAGAAGUCUUGAAAUUCAAGCAGAUAAUUGGAGACAUACAGGAGGAAAACACUUCCAGUCUUUUCUCAUGCAGUCAGGGAAAUCUUGAAGAGUCUUACACUUUUAAUCCUCCAGUCAUUAGCUGUGCUAUGAGGACAUUCUGGUGA
rnacentral:lncRNA from 1 species